ACGAACGCUGGCGGCGUGCUUAACACCUGCACGUCGAACGGAAAGGCCCUGCUUUUGUGGGGUGCUCGAGUGGCGAACGGGUGAGUAACACGUGAGUAACCUGCCCUUGACUUUGGGAUAACUUCAGGAAACUGGGGCUAAUACCGGAUAGGAGCUCCUGCUGCAUGGUGGGGGUUGGAAAGUUUCGGCGGUUGGGGAUGGACUCGCGGCUUAUCAGCUUGUUGGUGGGGUAGUGGCUUACCAAGGCUUUGACGGGUAGCCGGCCUGAGAGGGUGACCGGCCACAUUGGGACUGAGAUACGGCCCAGACUCCUACGGGAGGCAGCAGUGGGGAAUAUUGCACAAUGGGCGGAAGCCUGAUGCAGCAACGCCGCGUGCGGGAUGACGGCCUUCGGGUGGUAAACCGCUUUCGCCUGUGACGAAGCGUGAGUGACGGUAAUGGGUAAAGAAGCACCGGCUAACUACGU
rnacentral:rRNA from 1 species